rnacentral:rRNA from 1 species
GACGAACGCUGGCGGCGUGCCUAAUACAUGCAAGUCGAACGCAGUGGGGACGGGUGAGUAACACGUGGGUAACCUCCCAUCAGAGGGGAUAACACUUGGAAACAGGUGCUAAACCGAUACUGAUGGAUGGACCCGCGGUGCAUUAGCUAGUUGGUGAGGUAACGGCUCACCAAGGCCACGAUGCAUAGCCGACCUGAGAGGGUGAUCGGCCACACUGGGACUGAGACACGGCCCAGACUCCUACGGGAGGCAGCAGUGGGGAAUAUUGGACAAUGGGCGAAAGCCUGAUCCAGCCAUGCCGCGUGUGUGAAGAAGGUCUUCGGAUUGUAAAGCACUUUAAGUUGGGAGGCGUUACCAACAGAAUAAGCACCGGCUAACUUCGUGCCAGCAGCCGCGGUAAUAC